rnacentral:rRNA from 1 species
UACGUAGGGGCCAAGCGUUGUCCGGAUUUAUUGGGCGUAAAGAGCUCGUAGGCGGUUCGGUAAGUCAGCUGUGAAAUCUCCACGCUCAACGUGGAGGGGUCAGCUGAUACUGCCGUGACUUGAGUCUGGUAGGGGAGUGCGGAAUUCCCGGUGUAGCGGUGAAAUGCGCAGAUAUCGGGAGGAACACCGGCGGUGUAGACGGCUUUCUGGACCGUAGCUGACGCUGAGACACGAAAGCGUGGGUAGCAAACAGG